UGCUAUUCGGAUUAAAAGGGAAUCGGGUGCAAAUCCCGGACAGUCCCGCUGCUGUGAAGCUCUGCUGGAAUCUUGAAAAAUACCUUUGCCACUGAUGUGACAAUCCUCACAUCGGGAAGGCUUCAAGAUAAGGAGUCAGUCAGAAGACCUGCCAUUCAUUAA
rnacentral:ncRNA from 1 species